UACGUAGGGUGCGAGCGUUGUCCGGAAUUAUUGGGCGUAAAGAGCUUGUAGGCGGUUUGUCGCGUCUGCUGUGAAAAUCCGGGGCUCAACCCCGGACUUGCAGUGGGUACGGGCAGACUAGAGUGUGGUAGGGGAGACUGGAAUUCCUGGUGUAGCGGUGAAAUGCGCAGAUAUCAGGAGGAACACCGAUGGCGAAGGCAGGUCUCUGGGCCAACUAC
rnacentral:rRNA from 1 species